CGGGUGAGUAACACGUGGAUAACCUACCUAUAAGACUGGGAUAACUUCUGGAAACCGGAGCUAAUACCGGAUAAUAUUUUGAACCGCAUGGUUCAAAAGUGAAAGACGGUCUUGCUGUCACUUAUAGAUGGAUCCGCGCUGCAUUAGCUAGUUGGUAAGGUAACGGCUUACCAAGGCAACGAUGCAUAGCCGACCUGAGAGGGUGAUCGGCCACACUGGAACUGAGACACGGUCCAG
rnacentral:rRNA from 1 species